UCUAUCAUCGUGACCACGGCCAUGACACGAAGGAGUAUAUUCAGCUCUGAGACGAGAUCGAGGAGCUCAUCAGACGAGGUUGGCUCGACAGAUUCAUCCGACAUCGGCCUGAAGGUAGAGAGGAUCGAUCGAGGGCCCUACCACAGCCAGUGCCGCCAAGGAGGAAAGAACAGCCUGAAGAUCGGCCUCCAAUCGAAAUCAUCAACACCAUCUCUGGAGGACCUUGGUGGGGAGUAGCCAGU
rnacentral:lncRNA from 1 species